UCCCUGGCAGUCCAGUGGUUAAGACCCUGCACUUCUAAUGCAGGAGUCAUAGGUUCGAUCCCUGGUUGGGGAA
rnacentral:tRNA from 1 species